ACUGUGACAUUUAAGUAUCAGAUUUCUGAUAUCAUUUUGCAGCAUAUAGAUACUCAGUUUGCAGCUGGUUCAUACAAUUUACAGUAUGGUUGAAGAGGCUUUUUUUUUUCAAAAAUUGGUGGAGGGUCCACAUGGGGGAUCCCGACAACAAUUUACGCUGAAUUCAGAAGAACCCCUUACGUAUUUCGCUUCAUCAAGGAAGACAAUUACGUUGAAUUUGGUCACCUCGCUACGAAUUACGUAGAUAAGAUGAUUUUCCCUACGAUUUACGGAAAAUAAAAAUAGGCUGCCUGCGCCUUAUGGAAAACAGCAUGCAGACCCUCUUGAUGCACAUGUGGAUUCCAUCCAUAAAUUGAAUCAGCGUACCCUUACAUAAGUUAUUUGCAAACUAUUAUCCCACAAACUAGUUUGUGGGAUAAUGGAUUGCGUCAAGGCCAGUGUAAGUGUAAAAAUACAUGUAUGCAAACAGGUAACUAUGUUAUGUAGGUUAAUGCUUUGUUUGCAAAUACAUAUGUAGAUUAUGCAAGGAGGUUGAAUCUUUUUCAACCUCCUUGGAUCAUGUAAGAUGGCAAAGAGGGAUGAUCACAAAGACCUUGUUUCGUCUAAGGUGUGUGAGUAUUCACCUUUGCCUUAAUACCCUCUUACAAAACGUAAACCCAUUUAACCUACUUCCAUAGUCUGCAUGCUAAUGCACCUGGGCAAAGUUCAAGGCAAAACUGUCCUUGGCCGAGAUUUCGUCCACGAGCUCUCAAGAUAAGUCUCUAUUAUGUUCUUACACCUUGAAUAUGUGCAAAAUGUUCGCAUCAGUUUCCCAUUGAUCGUUAUUUGUAUUCACUUUAACACAUAGCUGCAGACUUUGUGAUGAAAACCGUGCACAAUAGGUUUAUCCAUACAUCUGCUUGGAGGUGACUUUCCAGUCAGAUAUUGCAUCAUCUGUUGCAUCAUCAAGCUACCUUGGAGAAGCGUCAUUGUGGAAGAAACCAUUCGUGGAAAGAGCAAUAUUUAUGGUAGUUUCAGAUGUGCUUUCUGUCUUUUUAAAGCAUGAUAUGUAAUAUUCCUUUACUAAGAUAAUCUAGAGUGUUAAGUAAAUUUGUGCCUGGCAUCUUUGGAUGGCAAGGAAGAUUCUGUUUCAUCAUACAUGUACCUUAUAUCUCCGACUGUCACCCCUUCUCGGACACAACCAUUCCUGUACUACUUCCGGUGACAAGGCCGAAAAGCCAACACUAACGUCUUACCGCACGUGCCCUGUUGCAUGGACCUGUGUUUGCUGCCAAUGUAUUCCGAGACUGAACGUAGUUCUGUUCAAACAAGAGGUGGCGUCGAUGCAGACGUUGUUUUACAGUGCUGUCGAAAGGAAAGGGGCUGAACACGGACUCCGGGAGGGACUGGACACGAUCGGCUGCUAGCUGAGGCUCAAAACCACAGGACUGGAAGUCUACAGCUAAACAAGCGUCAGUGGAGGACUAGUCCACACGGUGUUAUGAUGUCUCUGCGAUCAGCAAGAGCACCGCUGAUGACGGAAUUUUCCACUCCCCUACCGCCCGUGCGGAGAUGGAUGAUGUUUGUCCUGCGGGUGACGAUACUGUACAGUGCUAGCUUGCUCUUCAUUCUGGGCUGUCUGCUGGUAUCGUGUGUCUUGGACCGACGAGAACUCGCCGAAGUGAAACUUCAAGAUCAACAACCCUGCACAUACUCAUGUAGUGAAAGGACUCAGCAACAUGCUGCGCCGUCAAAACAGCGCUUGGGUGCGAGAAAUUUACAGCAGAGUGCGUGAUAAUGCACGACUCCAAGACUCGAGAAAAACAAACCGUGAAUGUGUUACUAAAGUAUGUUGUAACGUUAACUUAAUGUCUUUCUGUGGAAGAAAAGGGUACAGGAUCUUCUACUUAGUCGCUUUGUUCUUUCGACUAAUAGUGUUUUCACAAAUUGUCUACAAGGCAACUCUGGCUUUAAUUACCCUUAUUAAGUAGGCAUUAACCGUGAUUAAGGAAGCUGCAGUGCUAAUUGUCAAAGAUACUAACUUUUGCGACUUACUGUUAUUGCUUGAAUCAAGAACAAAUUCAAAGUAAUAUUUCGUUGGUAUAGAUUGUCAAUGCUGCUAAAAGUAAAAGUAUUCGCCUUAGUGGGGACAACUCCACGGGGCAGGGGCAGCGCUUUGAUUGACAUGGCGAUAACAAAACAAGCUGACGGCUUCACGUGGUGGACAGGUUAUUCACGUGAUGAACGCAUGUACAGUGCGUGAUCAGCUGCACGUGUUUUGUAUGGCACGUGUCAACACCGCUCCCCUUUGGCGCUUCUUUCGAGUUGUCUUGGCCAGACUCCUUGGGUUACUGGAAAAGGUGAAGACAUUGGCCUAGUAUACAGAAUGAUUUGACUGAUGAGCUAGUUAAACAUGUAGUUAUGCAUUAAAAUCCAUUCUGGUUAUUUGGCCAAUUUCUACUAUUUGUUUUCUAGCAAUCCAAGGGGCCUAGAAUAAUCUCAAAACAAAUAAUCUGCCGGUGGAGUUUAUUAGGUGGAGCUGUCAUAAUUAUACCAUUUGGUGAUCACGCGCUAUGCAUGCGUCCAUUCCAACAACCCAUGGUGCAAACGUAUGUCCCCAGGGACCCCUCCCACAAAGUGAAUGGUAGAAAUUUGAUACUCUCAUCAUUAGUAACGUUAAAUUUUGAUAGUGAAUCAGGAGCAGAUUCGGUAACGUUAGAGCCUUGAUAACAAAGACAAACACUUUUUUACCGCCAUGAUGUCUAUUGAUGAGACUGUUGCAUAGUGAUGACGUUGCAUUGUGAACACAUGUUAUCAUUCCACCAUAUCAAUUCAAUAGAUUUGUUCUGUUUA